rnacentral:rRNA from 1 species
UACGUAGGGUGCGAGCGUUGUCCGGAAUUAUUGGGCGUAAAGAGCUCGUAGGCGGUUUGUCACGUCUGCUGUGAAAUCCCGGGGCUCAACUUCGGGUCUGCAGUGGGUACGGGCAGGCUAGAGUGCGGUAGGGGAGAUUGGAAUUCCUGGUGUAGCGGUGGAAUGCGCAGAUAUCAGGAGGAACACCGAUGGCGAAGGCAGAUCUCUGGGCCGUUACUGACGCUGAGGAGCGAAAGCGUGGGGAGCGAACAGG